rnacentral:rRNA from 1 species
UACGUAGGUGGCAAGCGUUGUUCGGAAUUAUUGGGCGUAAAGGGCGCGUAGGCGGCCUGUCGCGUCGGAUGUGAAAGCCCGGGGCUCAACCCCGGGUCUGCAUUCGAUACGGGCAGGCUGGAGUGUGGUAGGGGAGAUCGGAAUUCCUGGUGUAGCGGUGAAAUGCGCAGAUAUCAGGAGGAACACCGGUGGCGAAGGCGGAUCUCUGGGCCAUUACUGACGCUGAGGAGCGAAAGCGUGGGGAGCGAACAGG